ensembl:snRNA U6 U6 spliceosomal RNA
GUGUUCAUUGCGAAUAUAUGUAUACUAAGAUUAGAAUGAUCCAGAGAUUUGUAUGGUCCCUGGGCAAGGAUGACAUACAGAUUUGUUAAGUGUUCCACAUUUAA